rnacentral:tRNA from 1 species
UCCUUGAUGGUCCAGUGGUUAAGACUCCAUGCUUCUAAUGCAGGGGGUGUAGGUUCGAUCCCUAGUCAGGGAA